rnacentral:tRNA from 1 species
GUAAAUAUAGUUUAANNAAAACAUUAGAUUGUGAACCUAACUAUAGAAGCCUNCCACUUCUUAUUUACC